UACGGAGGGUGCAAGCGUUAUCCGGAUUCACUGGGUUUAAAGGGUGCGUAGGUGGGCAGGUAAGUCAGUGGUGAAAUCUCCGGGCUUAACCCGGAAACUGCCAUGGAUACUAUGUGUCUUGAAUGUUGUUGAGGUGAGCGGAAUAUGUCAUGUAGCGGUGAAAUGCUUAGAUAUGACAUAGAACACCAAUUGCGAAGGCAGCUCACUAAGCAAAUAUUGACGCUGAGGCACGAAAGCGUGGGGAUCAAACAGG
rnacentral:rRNA from 1 species